ACGACCGCAAGUGAGAACGAUAAACAGUACCUCGUGUAUGCGUCUAGUGGGGUGUUACAAUGCAAAUUGCGCAUUUAGAGCGUAUAUCACCGAGAGAAAAUUGCAGGCGAAAUAUCCGUCUCCUGCGAGUAAGCUACAUGGAGCUAUUCGGUUUCUCCGAUCUCAAACUCGGUGAUAGCAUUUUUAGAUUUAUUAAGCGGUUGAAACAAGUUAACACAGUUUCGGAUCCCAGAGGACUUCCAUUCGGGGUUGAGCCACUGUUACUGAAAGUCACGCUGCUGCUGGUCUCGCUCUCGUCUCUCGUAAAUUUCGAAGCGGUACCCUGAAACAUCACAAUCCGAAAUUCAGCAAAACGUUACUCAAGGACAUUUUUCGACCGCCGUUCUAAAAAUAUUAACGUUACGCUAAUUACAUAGCAUGGUAGUGCUCUUUGAAUCAAAAGCCAAGGCAUUCUCCAAGAAAUAUAAACUGUGAUCCUUGACGUCUGUCUCGUGCCACUCAUACGGAUCCAUACCACUUAUUGACUUCUUUCUCCGUUUUUUCUUGCGAUAUACAAUAUAAUGUAAAACGCUUAACUCGAUAAUAAAGUUAACAUAAAAUUAUAAAUAACGA
rnacentral:lncRNA from 1 species